UUGAACGCUGGCGGCAUGCUUUACACAUGCAAGUCGAACGGUAACAGGUUAAGCUGACGAGUGGCGAACGGGUGAGUAAUGCAUCGGAACGUGCCCGAUCGUGGGGGAUAACGCAGCGAAAGCUGCGCUAAUACCGCAUACGAUCUGAGGAUGAAAGCGGGGGACCGUAGGGCCUCGCGCGAUCGGAGCGGCCGAUGUCAGAUUAGGUAGUUGGUGGGGUAAAGGCUCACCAAGCCGACGAUCUGUAGCUGGUCUGAGAGGACGACCAGCCACACUGGGACUGAGACACGGCCCAGACUCCUACGGGAGGCAGCAGUGGGGAAUUUUGGACAAUGGGCGCAGGCCUGAUCCAGCAAUGCCGCGUGCAGGAAGAAGGCCUUCGGGUUGUAAACUGCUUUUGUACGGAACGAAAAGGUCUGGGUUAAUACCCUGGGCCCAUGACGGUACCGUAAGAAUAAGCACCGGCUAACUACGU
rnacentral:rRNA from 1 species